rnacentral:rRNA from 1 species
UAAUACAGAGGUCUCAAGCGUUGUUCGGAUUCAUUGGGCGUAAAGGGUGCGUAGGUGGUGAUGCAAGUCUGGUGUGAAAUCUCGGAGCUCAACUCCAAAUUGCACCGGAUACUGCGUGACUCAGGACUGUAGAGGAGAUCGGAAUUCACGGUGUAGCAGUGAAAUGCGUAGAUAUCGUGAGGAAGACCAGUUGCGAAGGCGGAUCUCUGGGCAGUUCCUGACACUGAGGCACGAAGGCCAGGGGAGCAAACGGGAUUAGAUACCCCGGUAGUCCUGGCAGUAAACGGUGCACGUUUGGUGUGGGCGGGUUCAGACCCCGUCCGUGCCGGAGCUAACGCGUUAAACGUGCCGCCUGGGAAGUACGGUCGCAAGAU